GUGGGGAAUAUUGGGCAAUGGGGGAAACCCUGACCCAGCGACGCCGCGUGGGUGAAGAAAUCCCUCGGGAUGUAAAGCCCUGUUGUAUGGGAAGAGCAGAAGACGGUACCAUACGAGGAAGCCCCGGCAAACUACGUGCCAGCAGCCGCGGUAACACGUAGGGGGCAAGCGUUGUCCGGAAUUACUGGGCGUAAAGCGCACGCAGGCUGAAUUAUAAGUCGGUAGUCAAAUACGGAGGCUCAACUUCCGGAUAUCUAUCGAUACUGUAAAUCUAGAGUAUGUGAGAGGGAAGCGGAAUUCCCGGUGUAGCGGUGAAAUGCGUAGAUAUUAGGAGGAACACCAGUGGCGAAGGCGGCUUUCUGGACUGUAACUGACACUGAGGCACGAAAGCGUGGGGAGCAAACAGGAUUAGAUACCCCAGUAGUCC
rnacentral:rRNA from 1 species